rnacentral:misc_RNA from 1 species
CUUAUUUAAAUAUUACACUUUUUGUUUUAGAACUACACGCGCAUGCGCGCGCGAACACGUCGUGAUGGAUACGUUGUGUACGCGUCGAACGUUCAAAGGAGGACGUACGUGUGCUUUACAAAUGUAUUACACGAAAGUGAAACCGUCCUGGGGCAUUAUGCAUGCCGUAUUCACACGGAGACAUAACGUUUAAAACGGCCGGUUACGCAAGAUCGUUAACCUUCGUUUUCUUUGAUGAAUACGUGAUUGGCUAUCUUGUUAAUGAAAGUACGAUGGAUUCAAAUUGGCACGUAAAGUCUGUAUUACAACUGCAUAUGUACAGAUGUAUAUGUAUAUGUACAAAAUAAAAAACGCUCAACGUGAGGGUUGAACCCAUUGACUACGAGAUCAAAAGCCUCUUGCUCUGCCGACGCAACGGAAUAUUCAAACGUAUCGAUCCAUUGGAAUUUCAAAAUUUUAAACGAGCCUAUACACAUCGGCAAGUGUCAAUGUUAUUAGAAUUAAUAUUUUUAUGAAUUGAAAUGAUAAAUGAAACAAAGAUCGUUGGAUCGAAAC